CGUGCAGGCGGCCACCGCAAGUUGAAUGUGAAAUCCCUGGGCUUAACCCGGGAAGUGCGUUCAAGACUGCGGGGCUUGGAUACGGGAGAGGAUCGUGGAGUUCCUGGUGUAGAGGUGAAAUUCGUAGAUAUCAGGAGGAACACUCGUGGCGAAGGCGACGGUCUGGACCGAUAUUGACGCUGAGACGCGAAAGCGUGGGUAGCAAACA
rnacentral:rRNA from 1 species